rnacentral:rRNA from 1 species
GAUGAACGCUGGCGGCGUGCCUAACACAUGCAAGUCGAACGGACUUUUCAUGAAGCCUAGCGAUUGGAAAGUUAGUGGCGGACGGGUGAGUAACGCGUGGGUAACCUGCCUUGUACUGGGGGACAACAGUUGGAAACGACUGCUAAUACCGCAUAAGCGCACAGCUUCGCAUGAAGCAGUGUGAAAAACUCCGGUGGUACAAGAUGGACCCGCGUCUGAUUAGCUGGUUGGUGAGGUAACGGCCCACCAAGGCGACGAUCAGUAGCCGGCCUGAGAGGGUGAACGGCCACAUUGGGACUGAGACACGGCCCAAACUCCUACGGGAGGCAGCAGUGGGGGAUAUUGCACAAUGGGGGAAACCCUGAUGCAGCAACGCCGCGUGAGUGAAGAAGUAUUUCGGUAUGUAAAGCUCUAUCAGCAGGAAAGAAAAUGACGGUACCUGACUAAGAAGCCCCGGCUAACUACGUGCCAGCAGCCGCGGUAAUACGUAGGGGGCAAGCGUUAUCCGGAUUUACUGGGUGUAAAGGGAGCGUAGACGGUUUUGCAAGUCUGAAGUGAAAGCCCGGGGCUUAACCCCGGGACUGCUUUGGAAACUGUAGAACUAGAGUGCAGGAGAGGUAAGUGGAAUUCCUAGUGUAGCGGUGAAAUGCGUAGAUAUUAGGAGGAACACCAGUGGCGAAGGCGGCUUACUGGACUGUAACUGACGUUGAGGCUCGAAAGCGUGGGGAGCAAACAGGAUUAGAUACCCUGGUAGUCCACGCCGUAAAC